UCCAUGUCUAUUCUCUGUGCCUAGUGCUAUCUAAACUGCAAAUAAUUUGUAGCUGUGUCAUUCUCAAAGCCACUUUUAUCGUACUCUCCGAGGACAAAGACUGAGAGUAUGGUGUUGUCCUGGACUGAUGAUCGCUACAAUUGGGGAUCCCGCAAGGAAGGCAUAGAGGAAGAGGGUUCCAGACUUCAAGCUGUGAGGGAGCCCUGAUGGAGCCCUAAGCCCUGGGGUGGAGGGGAGGGAGAUGGCAGUGACAGGCUGUAAGCUAGGGGAGGGCUAGAGCACAGGAAAGGUCAGAAGGGGAAGGAAUCCAGGAAUUAAGUGUAGAGUCAGGAAUCAAAGAGGAAGCUUGGGACGUGUUGGCAGUAACAGAAGGCUAGGCUCACUGAACUGGCAGCUGAAAUAGCUUGCUAUUCUAGCUUCUAAAGAGGUCCCACAGCAGCUGCUCAGGGAGCCUGAUCUGAAACUUGCAAGGGUCUAACUGAAAACAACCGGCUAGGUAGCCAGGCUGAAUAAUAAUAGCCGCUUCCAUUUUAGUGGCAUUUUACAAUCGCCACAGUACUUUGCUCAUCAUGACCCUGUGAGGGAGAUAGUGUGGGGAUCUCUGAGGCAUUGAGAGGUGAAGUAGCUUUACGUGAUCACACAGUGGUAAAAGCUAAGACUUGAACUGAGGGGUCCUGACUCCAAGCCCACUACACAUAACUGUCCUCUCCUGGGGAUAAGGCACAGAGAGGGAAGUUCUUGAAAACUGGAGUUAGAGAGGAAGCUCCAGAGGUCAUCUAGUCCAACUCCCUGUCUCUAGACCUUCCCAAAUACCUGGAUCCCUUUCCUCUACUCAUCUACAUGGAAGUCUUGAUUCUCUUUAAUGUCCUCACACAUGGAUACCUGCCAGUCUGUUGGAUUCUCAGCCCUACCUGUCCAUCCGUCUUUGUCAGUCAACCACAUUGUGUUCAUUGUAUGCCUAGAACUAAGACUUGAACAACAUAGAUUCCCUUUCUCCCCUCUGCUGCCACCUGCAGACCCAUCAUCCUCUCCAAGACCCACCAUCAAAGCCUCAGCAACCUCUGUUUUCUUGGGAGAAAAUUUCAAUGUGACCUGCACUGCUCUGGGAGAACCUGAGAUCACUGUGGACUUCACUUGCGGGUAUCCAGGGCAGCUGGAGGGUCGGCCACCCUUGGUCAGUGAAUGCUCUACUGUGGUGUGCAGAGCUGGUCAGGUACAGCAAGAACGGGAGAGUGUCUUCUAUGCAGAGGAGGCCCGAGCCAAGGACCAAGGCAUCUAUACCUGCUGAGCCACAAACCUUCAGGGGACCUCGACAGCCAGCACCCGAAUUCGAAUUCUCCAGCCCUCACAGAUUCUGGUUUCAGCAGACAAGGCUGGUGACCAUUAAACUCCCUAUUUCACUGAAUGGCCCUGACCUCAGGGCACCUGGAGAGUGAGAGAUAUAUACCAAUGUAGGCCGCCACAUUCAACUACUCCUGUAUUCAGAGGAUGGAUUGCCUUUCCUCCCAUAGUGUGGUCUCCAAUUUCCUUUCCCCUAAGCUUGCUGUAGGUAAUCUUUACUCUAGCCACUAGACCCAGUCUCCAACCCCCAGUCCCUCCAAACCCUGCCUCAGUCCCUAAGUCCCAGCCCCCAACCUCCUCUUCUAACUGGGACCAUCAAUUCUCCUCCCCCUCCAUUAGUGCUCCCAGGCUGGCAAAUAUCCAAUCCCCUCAAGGCCUCAACAAAUCUUGUGGGAAUGAAGCUCAGGAGCUGAGCCCUCACCAUUCAACCUGACCCUGUAGUAGUUGGCUACCCUCAUUCUACUCCUGCCCACCCCACCCCCAAGAUAAAGAUGGAGGCCAAAUAAAGAUGCUGCAC
rnacentral:lncRNA from 1 species